rnacentral:tRNA from 1 species
AAGAACUUAAGUUAAAUAAACUAAAAGCCUUCAAAGCUUUAAAUAAGAAUGAAAUCUUCUUAGUUCUUG